UACGCAGGGUGCGAGCGUUAAUCGGAAUUACUGGGCGUAAAGCGUGCGCAGGCGGUGAUGUAAGACAGGUGUGAAAUCCCCGGGCUUAACCUGGGAACUGCAUUUGUGACUGCAUCGCUGGAGUGCGGCAGAGGGGGAUGGAAUUCCGCGUGUAGCAGUGAAAUGCGUAGAUAUGCGGAGGAACACCGAUGGCGAAGGCAAUCCCCUGGGCCUGCACUGACGCUCAUGCACGAAAGCGUGGGGAGCAAACAGG
rnacentral:rRNA from 1 species